rnacentral:rRNA from 1 species
CUUGGUCAUUUAGAGGAAGUAAAAGUCGUAACAAGGUCUCCGUAGGUGAACCUGCGGAGGGAUCAUUACACAAAUAUGAAGGCGGGCUGGAACCUCUCGGGGUUACAGCCUUGCUGAAUUAUUCACCCUUGUCUUUUGCGUACUUCUUGUUUCCUUGGUGGGUUCGCCCACCACUAGGACAAACAUAAACCUUUUGUAAUUGUAAUCAGCGUCAGUAACAAAUUAAUAAUUACAACUUUCAACAACGGAUCUCUUGGUUCUGGCAUCGAUGAAGAACGCAGCGAAAUGCGAUAAGUAGUGUGAAUUGCAGAAUUCAGUGAAUCAUCGAAUCUUUGAACGCACAUUGCGCCCUUUGGUAUUCCAAAGGGCAUGCCUGUUCGAGCGUCAUUUGUACCCUCAAGCUUUGCUUGGUGUUGGGCGUCUUGUCUCUAGCUUUGCUGGAGACUCGCCUUAAAGUAAUUGGCAGCCGGCCUACUGGUUUCGGAGCGCAGCACAAGUCGCACUCUCUAUCAGCAAAGGUCUAGCAUCCAUUAAGCCUUUUUUUCAACUUUUGACCUCGGAUCAGGUAGGGAUACCCGCUGAACUUAAGCAUAUCAAUAAGCGGAGGAAAAGAAACCAACAGGGAUUGCCCUAGUAGCGGCGAGUGAAGCGGCAACAGCUUAAAUUUGAAAUCUGGCUCUUUUAGAGUCCGAGUUGUAAUUUGCAGAGGGCGCUUUGGCUUUGGC